rnacentral:lncRNA from 1 species
UUAAAUGGAAAAGGGGGAAUAACUCUCAUAUGGAGUCUCCGUAAAGCUUCGAUCCAAAUAAAUAUCCUAAUCCUGAAGAUGUAACGAGCAAUUUGGUAAAAUAAAUUUGUCGUAAUCUUUUACAGUUGCGAAGGAGUAGUUGCCACAAGAAAAAAAGUGUUUGGGGAGAUAACUCUUACAACGUAAAGUAUUUUGUUACGCGGUUGAAAAUUUUUAAAGCGUAUAAACUAUACAAUAUCAUAUUCCAAAUAUCUAAGCGACAUCUUUUGAAACAUCAACAAUACGCAAGAAAAGAUUUAGGCGGAAGAAAAAAAAAAAUAAUAAUCAGAACAAAAGCAAUAGGUCUUUCCACGGAAAGGUGGAAAGACCUAAUAAU